UACGAAGGGGGCUAGCGUUGCUCGGAAUCACUGGGCGUAAAGGGUGCGUAGGCGGGUCUUUUAAGUCAGGGGUGAAAUCCUGGAGCUCAACUCCAGAACUGCCUUUGAUACUGAAGAUCUUGAGUUCGGGGAGAGGUGAGUGGAACUGCGAGUGUAGAGGUGAAAUUCGUAGAUAUUCGCAAGAACACCAGUGGCGAAGGCGGCUCACUGGCCCGAUACUGACGCUGAGGCACGAAAGCGUGGGGAAGCAAACAGGG
rnacentral:rRNA from 1 species